rnacentral:tRNA from 1 species
UCUCCUAUAGCUCAGUUGGUAGAGCGUCUGGCCGUUAACCAGGAUGUCACAGGUUCAAGUCCUGUUGGGGGAG